rnacentral:rRNA from 1 species
UACGUAGGGUGCAAGCGUUAAUCGGAAUUACUGGGCGUAAAGCGUGCGCAGGCGGUUUUGUAAGUCUGUCGUGAAAGCCCCGGGCUCAACCUGGGAAUUGCGAUGGAGACUGCAAGGCUUGAAUCUGGCAGAGGGGGGUAGAAUUCCACGUGUAGCGGUGAAAUGCGUAGAGAUGUGGAGGAACACCGAUGGCGAAGGCAGCCCCCUGGGUCAAGAUUGACGCUCAUGCACGAAAGCGUGGGGAGCAAACAGG